CACUUUAAUUAGCCUGAAGAAAAGUGAUUGUUCACUUAGAACCAAAAGAAGAAAGGACCAAAUUCUCACCUAUUGUGGACUGUGGAGCAUUUUGCUAGACAAAUUCGCCAAUUAGUCUAGUCACAUACAGCAGCAAUUCUCUGGAUUUCAAGGGACCAGCAAUGCUAAACCAACUCUUUGAAAAUUCAAUGCAAUUAUGUUGAAGGCUUGAGUUUUGACCAGGAGGGGAUCCUCAGUUGUCUCAAUAUUCUUGAAAAAGGACUUCAUAAUCCAGCAUCUGAAGUGAGUUUGAUCAAUCAAGCUAAGUCCACAAGAUGGAGCAACCAACAGAUACGGGUCUCCCCAUGCAAUGAGAGCGGGGCGUGGGGAGCGAGCGAGCGCUGUGGGGUGGAGAAAAGCAGAUAUCAUUUCCCAUCAGCUAAUUGCGAAGGAACGUUUAUAGUGACCAUGGAAAUUUUCAGAGCCCUAAAUACUAUAUGCAAACAACUGGAGAAAGCAAAGCUGGAAGAUGAUUGCGGCAAUCAGGUCAUAAUUGGAUUGACGGAAAAAGAUAGAUAAACAUAAAAGGAGUGCGGUCUUUGUAACAAAAUAAAAAUAAGUUCCAGUUUAAUAACUAUUCAAUAGGAUGCAUGAAAAACAUAAUAGGUACAGUGAAGCUGAAAAGUUGAUACAUGAAUCCUUGAAUGACUUUGUUGGACACUGACUUAGAAAAAUUAGGUCUGCUUGGACAGCAGAUGUACAAAUUAUCCUUCUUGUAGUUCUGCUGUUUAAUUGCAGUGUACAUGUUUCAUUGAGUAAUUCUAAAUACGAAUCACUGCUGGAUUUUUUUCCUUCUAGGUGUGUCAACAUUUAGCAACUCCAAAAGCUUUAAACUAUAUUGUUCUCACCAGCAUUUAUAGCAAGGCUACCUCGAACAUUUGUUUGCCGGGAAAAUACUGAAGGAGAUUUAAAACAACAUUGGCAGUGUAUCUGCCACUGAAAAGAGUAAAAGCAGGUUUGCCAAAGCAAGUAAACUUCACUGCAACUAACUAAUUUUAAAGGAAUCAUGAAUAUCUUUCCCGCUACAUGAAUUUUUGUUUUAACUACUGGCUUCAUAAGACAAAUGAAGUAAACUUUCAGCAUUCAGUACUGUAUUAAUGAUCUUUAACCAGAAAAUAGUUUUUUGAUGUCGUGAUUUGUUUUAACUAUUUGAAUGGAUAUCCAUUGAUUGCCAAUUGGCAGCUGUUACAGUCAAAACCUUAUGAACAAUGUACUAAUGCGUAGUAUGAGACUUUUUUUGAAAAUGGUAUUAAAAUCUGUAUAAUCAAGAAAGAAUGUUAUGCAUUAAUAAUAACUAUUUUGAACAAUGUAAGCUAUAAGAAAAGCAGUAUUGGGAAAACAAUCUCUUUAAAUAUCUCAUCUCUGGGGAAGGGGCUCAAUCACGACAUAUGAUUUUGAUGUUGCUUUAAAUUAAGAAGAAUCAGGGAUAUUUUGUUUAAAGAGUGCUUGCAGUCCAUGAAAAGCCAGAGAAUGGACAUUUUAACUCUAUAAAACGAAACAGUAUCCAAGUUGCAGUCUUACAAGGAAUAUAGUAAAAGUCAAUCAAAGCAGAUCAUUGCAAAACUGUAUUUUACUGGCCCAUAAAAAUGUACUUGAAAAAACAUUAAA